CAUCUUACAGGUAACAAAGCAGAAGCCUGAGGAGGAACUGUGUAAGAGGUUAGCAACCACAUCAUCCUAGUAUGCAGGCUACUUCGCCUGGGGAUCUCCUACCCCACCAUUUGGUCCUCCUGCAAACCUGGGCUUAAACAACUUGAAACUGGUCUACAAACUGAAAGAAGAGAAAAUUUGCUUUGCGGUUAUCACAUCAGAGUGAGAUAUCCCAAAAUUUAAGAGAUUAUC
rnacentral:lncRNA from 12 species